rnacentral:lncRNA from 1 species
UCUCUAGCUGUUUAUCCCGUGAAGCUGAAUUACGUACUAAAAAUGAUCUUUCAUCUGAAAAUACUUAGCUGCACACCUUGGAUGAUUAUAUUCCUCUUAAUAAUGUGAUAAUUAAUUGAUGAAGAUGCAUCUUAAUGUACAUUUAGUUUUCUCGAGCUGCUUAAGCAAUCAACAUUAAUUCACUCAAUUACACAGGUCACUCCACUAGCUGUACUGUCCAAUAACCGAAUCCAAUCCAUCGCUAAAUUUGUUCAUGAUCCAGCUAGCUGCCUGAUCCCAACCAAAACUAACAAAAGGAGCAACUAGCUAGCAAUUGGAUCAACUUGAUGAACAAAUUAAGCGGCAAUCACGUUCUGAUCAAUUUGGAGCUUAAUUACAAGGCUCUCCGAUCAGCUUGCUCCUCGGUCCAGGCCGAGGAGCCUCGCCGCCACCGGCGACAGCCGCCCGGGGCUCACCGCCGCCGCGACGGUCCUCCUGCCGCCCUUGCGCUCCUUGAUCGUCUCCAGCCGCGGCGACCACGCCCGGCUCCUCGCUGCGCCCACCAGCUGCUCGUAGUGCUUCCUCAGCUCCGGCGUGCUGCACAGCGCCCCGGCCCCGGCGGUGCCGCCG